rnacentral:rRNA from 1 species
AGAGUUUGAUCAUGGCUCAGAUUGAACGCUGGCGGCAUGCCUUACACAUGCAAGUCGAACGGCAGCACGGGUGCUUGCACCUGGUGGCGAGUGGCGAACGGGUGAGUAAUACAUCGGAACGUACCUUAUCGUGGGGGAUAACGCAGCGAAAGCUGUGCUAAUACCGCAUACGCCCUGAGGGGGAAAGCGGGGGAUCGAAAGACCUCGCGCGAUUAGAGCGGCCGAUGCCUGAUUAGCUUGUUGGUGGGGUAAAAGCCCACCAAGGCGACGAUCAGUAGCUGGUCUGAGAGGACGAUCAGCCACACUGGGACUGAGACACGGCCCAGACUCCUACGGGAGGCAGCAGUGGGGAAUUUUGGACAAUGGGGGAAACCCUGAUCCAGCAAUGCCGCGUGAGUGAAGAAGGCCUUCGGGUUGUAAAGCUCUUUUGUCAGGGAAGAAACACCGGCUCUAACACAGUCCGGGAAUGACGGUACCUGAAGAAUAAGCACCGGCUAACUACGUGCCAGCAGCCGCGGUAAUACGUAGGGUGCGAGCGUUAAUCGGAAUUACUGGGCGUAAAGCGUGCGCAGGCGGUUAUACAAGACAGGCGUGAAAUCCCCGGGCUUAACCUGGGAAUGGCGCCUGUGACUGUAUAGCUAGAGUGUGUCAGAGGGGGGUAGAAUUCCACGUGUAGCAGUGAAAUGCGUAGAUAUGUGGAGGAAUACCAAUGGCGAAGGCAGCCCCCUGGGAUAACACUGACGCUCAUGCACGAAGCGUGGGGAGCAAACAGGAUUAGAUACCCUGGUAGUCCACGCCCUAAACGAUGCUGACUAGUUGUUCGGGAUUUACAUCCUGAGUAACGUAGCUAACGCGUGAAGUCAGCCGCCUGGGGAGUACGGUCGCAAGAUUAAAACUCAAAGGAAUUGACGG